UCCCUUGACGUGGAGCAGCGUCAUUGCGGAAGUAACUAAGUCUACGUGGGGAAGGAAGGUUGGCUUGUUCGUGUUUGAACUAAACUCUGCCUAAAACACUAUAAAUGUGCAACCUACGGAACCUACAGUAACCCUACCGCGCCUCGCGGAACCUAUAACCUCCCCGCCCGCUAGCUGAAUGGCCUUGUACCGCCAGGGCGUGUAGAUCCGAUGGGAGGGAUAGCCGGGUAGUUCCCUGUAAUGCUUCGGUGGCUGCGGCAGUCUCUUAGGCAGGUUUCUAGUCUGAUGGCCCGGAGACCAGUGCUUGUCUGCGGGGCGAUACUGCUGAGCGUCCUGCUACUACUGGCCGUUACAUUUACCUGCAGCCGGGCUAAGAAUGUGGUUGCGUCGGCGCGUCCCCCGGUGAGGUUCUUCUCUGCCGAGGCCCCUGUAGUGGACCUGUACCUGGGUCAGUUGGAGCAGGUGGAGAGGCUGAGGGGCGCGGCAGAGGUGUCCGUCAUCUUCUUCUACGCUCCCUGGUGUGCUCACUCCAUCGCCGCUCGCCACGAGGUCCAGGAGGUCGCCCGGAGGCUGGUCAAACAGGUGCAGUUUGUGGCAGUGAACUGUUGGUGGAGCCAGGGGAAAUGCAGGAAACAGAAGAGCUUCUACCAAUAUCCUGUCAUCCACCUGUUCUACAAGAGGUUUGGCCCUAUAGAGUACAAGGGUCCGUUCCUGGCUUCCUAUGUAGAGAGGUUCAUCCUGAGAGUCAUCACCCCCCUGACCUACCUACCAUCACGAGCCAUACUACAAGACUUCCUGUCUUAUCAUGAGCCGGGGGUAGUUGGUUAUUUCCAGUUCAACUCUUCUCCUCAGCCUCCCGGCUACAUCACAUACCUCUCCUCAGCUCUGCAGGCCUUGAAGAGAGACUUCCGUGGUGCGGUGCGUUUCGGGGUGGUGACCAGUAGACAGGUGGCAGAGUCCAUCUCAGUCAGAGAUGACCAGACCGUCUACCUGCACCGACACUUCAACUCCUCAUUGAUUUUCCCUAGUUGGGAGCGUAACUUCACCUCUGAAGGCAUCUGUUCCUGGGUCUUUGAGCACCGCGAGACCGUCCUCCAAUGGCUGGCGCCGACUGGUGCUAAGUCCCGCCUUCUGGAGCAGGAACUGACCAAAGGCCCUGCCCUCCUGCUCUUCCUGCCCCACAAUCCCCUGGGGCACGGCCCCGACCCGCUGCUGACGCAGAUUGCAGACGUCGCGGUUCGCUACCAUUCCUGUAGCGACUCCCUCACCACCACCACCACCCCUCUGACCACUACUACUACAGUGGACCCUCCCAGCCCCUGUCCCCCCCUCUCUGCUGCCUCUCAGUGGUUCUGCCCAGGCCACACCCCCUCACAGGCUCCACCUCCAGGGUGUGUGAGCUUUGUCUCAACCAGUCCAAUCCGGGUCGCUCUCCCCUGUGCACCUUCCCCCCCAGACAUCAGGUGGCGCUGCCGUGCUCCAGUCCUACCUCAGACGAUGCUGCCUACCUGUUGCUGCGACGGUGACGACGGUUGCCUGUAGUAACAUCCUGAGUAGCUACAGCCCGUCGUCAGGUCGCUAUAGUGCCUGUUGUAGAACUCUGGGACAGCUAGGGGUUUCCCUGCUCCCACAGCAGGGGCUAGGGCUAGACAACGAGGGGUUAGGGACACCCCCUCCCUCACCAUCCUCCUCCCAGGACUCCUCCCAGGACUCCUCCCCGUCCUCCCAGGACCAGGAAGCAGGCGGGAUUAAAGGGUUGAGGUGUCGGACAAAUAAGACGCUCAGGUUCUACAUCCUGGACUCCGCCCUCCACUGGCCGCUGGCGGUGCGUCUCGGGGCGCUAGGCAACGAUGAGAUGGGUGGCGGUGGCCUGGGGGAGUUAGGAAGGUUGCUAGGCAACGGGACCGGUGAUGGCGCACAGUCGUUUGCGACCAUCGUGAACCUGAAGGAUGAGGUGCACUACGUUCUGGACCACAGAGGAACCGCUACUGUUACAGAGUCUCUGGAGUUGUUCAUCAGGAACUUUAGCACCUCCCACAGCCCACUGCAGAGACGCCUGGUGGGGAGGAGAGAGGAGGAGAGGCCCCAGAAGAGACCCCUCAUCUCAGAGCUGACCACCACCUCUUUCCUUACUACUGUCAUGGAUCCUCACAGGGAUGUGGUGCUGUUCUACUACAGUCAGUGGUGUGGCUACUGCUCUGUUCUAAACCACGUCAUCAUCCAGCUGGCUAGAAUGUUCCGUGGAAACAGCACCGUCACCAUCGCCAGGGUGAACGUGGCGCGUAACGACCUGCCGUGGGAGUUCAUGGUGGAUCACUUCCCUCUGUCCUCCUCUUCCCCAGACACAGGUAAGACAGAACACACACCUGUCCUCCUCUUCCCCAGACACAGGAAACACCUGUCCGUCAAGUUCCCGGAGGACACGCCCAUCACUCUCCCCACCCUAUUACGCUUCAUCCUGAAGCACUCCGACUCCGCCCACCAGCCAAUGAAAGCAGACGGAUCCGACCCUCACCCUCACGUUCUCCUCAAGGCGGAGUUCCGCGCUCUACAAGGAGAAGUCCAGACAUUACAUCGUGCACGCCAGCGCCUCUCCAAUCAACUGGCCCAGCUGUGGCGAGACAACCGGCGGUUAUCCUUCCACGCCGUGGCCCUGGAGACCCACAAUGCACUGCUGCAGUCCCAGAAUGGCGAGCUGCAGCGCGAGAGGCUGAGCCUAGUGGAGCAGCACAAGGAGAAGAGUCGUCAGUUAGGGAGGCGGUCAGGAGACUACAGGAACUAGCAGACGCAUCAGAGAACCUUCUCACUGAGAAUACACUGCUGAGGGUUUUACUGGGAGCUCUGAGAGCCAGGGAGACAGAGAGAGGGGAGGAGGAGGAGGAGGAGACAGGGGAGGAGGAGGAGGAGACAGGGGAGGAGGAGGAGACGACAGGGGAGGAGAGGAGUUAUAUGGCCUCUUGACAGGAGAGGAGAAUACCCUGCUGAGGGUUUUACCGGGAGCUCUGAGAGCCAGGGAGACAGAGAGAGGGGAGGAGGAGAAUGAAGAGGAGGAGACAGGGGAGGAGGAGGAGACAGGGGAGGAGGAGGAGACAGGGGAGGAGGAGGAGACGACAGGGGAGGAGGAGACGACAGGGGAGGAGAGGAGUUAUAUGGCCUCUUGACAGGGGAGGAGAAUACCCUGCUGAGGGUUUUACUGGGAGCUCUGAGAGCCAGGGAGACAGAGAGAGGGGAGGAGGAGAACGAAGAGGAGGAGACAGGGGAGGAGGAGGAGACAUGGAGGAGGUGGAGGAGUUUGUCAUGCCAAGUAAUGCUGGUAGAACGGAAACAGCUGAUGAAUCACAGCCUCUUGACCCCUACCCCCUAGAAGAAAGAGGAGGUACUACGUGGGCCCUGACAGAUGGUGGGAGUAGAGGAGGUGGGAGACCAGAGGAAUCACAGCUUCAUAAUGCUCUCCUAGUGGAAGGAGGGAACACGACAUAGACACAGCAGCUUUAUAACCAGGUACUGUAGGAUGUCCUCUGGGACCAGAGAGAGACGGGAAAGAAAGGAGACGAUACUACGGAGAACACAGAGUGUUGUUGAUGACGUCUCUAAGCUUCGGACUUUAGAAUGCGUGUAACACUCUAGAAUGUCCAGUCAUAAUGCCAACUCUAGAGUCCAUAAGGGCUAGUGGUCCGGGAGAAGGUUCUACCCAUGAGGUCAGAGAGGAGCGACCAGCCUCGUCACAGAGGAACGACAAGAAAUGGAAUAAGCCCAAAGGGCCGAUGAACACUAGAAAUACGCCUCAAAAUGGCACCCUAUUCUAGAUGCAGUGCUAGUCUAGCUAAUAGGGUUUCCAUUUGGGACAUAUACCCUAGGUGAGUUUAGUAGUGAGAAGCUGUCUUCUGAAGCCUGGGUUUUGGUUGUGUGUUUGUAUUUUUCCAAGGAGCACCAGGUGAUUCUCCACAGAGAAGGUGCAUUUUGUUUCUGGUUCUUUUUGUUAAAUUAAUCUAUUUUUACAAGAAUCGCUAAAAAUGUCUUUCUAUGUUAAUUCAGGAAACGAGAAGAUGCAGCUGUUUUACAUGUCAAAUAUUGAACAGAUUUUUACUGAUUAAAAAUGUUUUAAUUUAA